CUAUACAUGCAGUCGAGCGAACAGAUAAGGAGCUUGCUCCUUUGACGUUAGCGGCGGACGGGUGAGUAACACGUGGAUAACCUACCUAUAAGACUGGGAUAACUUCGGGAAACCGGAGCUAAUACCGGAUAACAUAUUGAACCGCAUGGUUCAAUAGUGAAAGGCGGCUUUGCUGUCACUUAUAGAUGGAUCCGCGCCGUAUUAGCUAGUUGGUAAGGUAACGGCUUACCAAGGCAACGAUACGUAGCCGACCUGAGAGGGUGAUCGGCCACACUGGAACUGAGACACGGUCCAGACUCCUACGGGAGGCAGCAGUAGGGAAUCUUCCGCAAUGGGCGAAAGCCUGACGGAGCAACGCCGCGUGAGUGAUGAAGGUCUUCGGAUCGUAAAACUCUGUUAUCAGGGAAGAACAAAUGUGUAAGUAACUGUGCACAUCUUGACGGUACCUGAUCAGAAAGCCACGGCUAACUACGUGCCAGCAGCCGCGGUAAUACGUAGGUGGCAAGCGUUAUCCGGAAUUAUUGGGCGUAAAGCGCGCGUAGGCGGUUUUUUAAGUCUGAUGUGAAAGCCCACGGCUCAACCGUGGAGGGUCAUUGGAAACUGGAAAACUUGAGUGCAGAAGAGGAAAGUGGAAUUCCAUG
rnacentral:rRNA from 1 species